rnacentral:rRNA from 1 species
AGAGUGAACGCUGGCGGCAUGCCUAACACAUGCAAGUCGAACGGGAGUAGCAAUACUCUAGUGGCGGACGGGUGAGGAAUACGUAGGAAUUUGCCCUUAAGUGGGGGAUAACCCGGGAAACCCGGAUUAAUACCGCAUGACCUCGAAAGAGCAAAGUGGGGAUCGCAAGACCUCACGCUUUUGGAGAAGCCUACGUCGGAUUAGCUAGUUGGUGAGGUAAUGGCUCACCAAGGCGACGAUCCGUAACUGGUCUGAGAGGAUGAUCAGUCACACGGAACUGAGACACGGUCCGACUCCGUACGGGAGCAGCGAGGUGGGAAUAGUUAGGACAAGUGGGCG